CAGCCGCCACGGGAAUACGAAGGGUGCAAGCGUUACUCGGAAUUACUGGGCGUAAAGGGCGCGUAGGCGGCACGAUUAGUCAGGCGUGAAAUUCCUGGGCUCAACCUGGGGACUGCGCUUGAUACGGUCGAGCUAGAGGAUGGAAGAGGGUCGUGGAAUUCCCAGUGUAGAGGUGAAAUUCGUAGAUAUUGGGAAGAACACCGGUGGCGAAGGCGGCGACCUGGUCCAUUACUGACGCUGAGGCGCGACAGCGUGGGGAGCAAACAGGAUUAGAUACCCCAGUAGUCCCUGUCUCUUAUAC
rnacentral:rRNA from 1 species